rnacentral:lncRNA from 1 species
GUUUCGAUAAUGGAGGAGGAAAAUAGAAAAAAGAAUAAGAAAAGUGGAGUGAGGGAGAAGAAAACGAGUGGUAGCAAUGGUAGUGCAAGGUGGCGAUAAUGGUUAUGUAUGGUGGAGCAAGGGACGGUGGUGAACAAAAUAGCUGAAAGGGGUGGUAGCAAGGUGGAGUUGAGGAUGUGCAAUGGUGGUAAGGGAGGAAGAAAGAGGCAGUACAACUCAAAUUGGUGGCUAGAGGGCGGCACAAGGUGGUUGGAAAAAAAAGACUAAGGAGAGAAAGGGGAGAGUUUUCCUAAAAGAAAAACAAUGACAAUUGAGAGGCUUCCUAGCUAGGUUGGAUGACUAACCUAGGUAAGCUCACAUGUUCAUGGAAACAAAUGGAGUACACGAAGAAAAAAGUGGAUUAAGGGAUUAAGG